rnacentral:rRNA from 1 species
AACGAACGCUGACGGCAGGCUUAACACAUGCAAGUCGAACGAGAUCUUCGGAUCUAGUGGCAGACGGGUGAGGAACACGUGGGAACAUCCCUUUCAGUUCGGAAUAACGUUGGGAAACUAACGCUAAUACCGGAUACGUCCUUCGGGAGAAAGAUUUAUCGCUGAAAGAUUGGCCCGCGUCUGAUAGCUAGUUGGUGAGGUAACGGCUCACCAAGGCUACGAUCAGUAGCUGAUCUGAGAGGAUGAUCAGCCACAUUGGGACUGAGACACGGCCCAAACUCCUACGGGAGGCAGCAGUGGGGAAUAUUGGACAAUGGGCGCAAGCCUGAUCCAGCCAUGCCGCGUGAGUGAUGACGGCCUUCGGGUUGUAAAGCUCUUUUGUCCGGGAAGAUAAUGACUGUACCGGAAGAAUAAGCCCCGGCAAACUUCGUGCCAGCCGCCGCCGUAA